GACGAACGCUGGCGGCGUGCUUAAUACAUGCAAGUCGAGCGAACAGACGAGGAGCUUGCUCCUUUCUCGUUAGCGGCGGACGGGUGAGUAACACGUGUAUACUCCACUUAUAAGACUGGGAACAUCUCGGGAAACCGGAGCAAAUACCGGAUAAUAUCUUGCACCGUAUGGUUCAUUAGUGAAAUUCGGCUUUGCUGUCACUUCUAGCUGGUUCUGCGCUGCUUUAGCUGGUUGGUAAGGUAACGGCUUAUCAAGGCUACGAUGCGUAGCCGACUGGAGAGGGGGGUCGGCCACACUGGAGCUGGGACAGGGUCCAGACUCCUGCGAGAGGCAGCAGUAGGGAAUCUGCCGCAGUAGGCGAGAGCCUGGCGGAGCGGCGCCGAGUGAGUGAUGAAGAUCUUCGGAUCGUGAAGCUCUGUUAUUAGGGAAGAACAAAUGUGUAAGUAGCUGUACAGGUCUUGACGGUACCUGGUCAAGAAGCCACGGCUAACUACGUG
rnacentral:rRNA from 1 species